GAUGAACGCUAGCUACAGGCUUAACACAUGCAAGUCGAGGGGUAGCACGGAGGAAGCUUGCUUCCUUGGGUGACGACCGGCGCACGGGUGAGUAACGCGUAUCCGACCUACCCAUAACUCGGGCACAGCCGCUCGAAAGAGUGAUUGAUUCCCGAUAUGUCAUUAGAGUAGAUUUAAUGAUGAAAGAUUCAUCGGUUAUGGAUGGGGAUGCGUAAGAUUAGGUAGUAGGCGGGGUAACGGCCCACCUAGCCGACGAUCUUUAGGGGUUCUGAGAGGAAGGUCCCCCACACUGGUACUGAGACACGGACCAGACUCCUACGGGAGGCAGCAGUGAGGAAUAUUGGUCAAUGGGCGGAAGCCUGAACCAGCCAGGUAGCGUGAAGGAUUCCAGCCCUACGGGUUUUAAACUUCUUUUAUAUAAGAGUAAUGUGCACUACGUGUAGUGUAUUGCAAGUAUUAUAUGAAUAAGCAUCGGCUAACUCCGUGCCAGCCGCCGCCGUAAUAC
rnacentral:rRNA from 1 species